GUGGGGAAUAUUGGACAAUGGGCGAAAGCCUGAUCCAGCCAUGCCGCGUGUGUGAAGAAGGUCUUCGUAUUGUAAAGCACUUUAAGUUGGGAGGAAGGGCAGUAAGUUAAUACCUUGCUGUUUUGACGUUACCGACAGAAUAAGCACCGGCUAACUUCGUGCCAGCAGCCGCGGUAAUACGAAGGGUGCAAGCGUUAAUCGGAAUUACUGGGCGUAAAGCGCGCGUAGGUGGUUUUGUAAGUUGGAGGUGAAAUCCCCGGGCUCAACCUGGGAACUGCCUCCAAAACUGCAUGACUAGAGUACGGUAGAGGGUAGUGGAAUUUCCUGUGUAGCGGUGAAAUGCGUAGAUAUAGGAAGGAACACCAGUGGCGAAGGCGACUACCUGGACUGAUACUGACACUGAGGUGCGAAAGCGUGGGGAGCAAACAGGAUUAGAAACCCUUGUAGUCC
rnacentral:rRNA from 1 species